rnacentral:rRNA from 1 species
AGAAUCAACGCUGGCGGCGUGCCUAACACAUGCAAGUCGCACGAGAAAGGGGAGCAAUCCCUGAGUAAAGUGGCGCACGGGUGAGUAACACGUGAAUAAUCUACCUCCGAGUGGGGAAUAACUGAGAGAAAUAUUAGCUAAUACCGCAUAACACUUACGAGUCAAAGCAGCAAUGCGCUUGGAGAGGAGUUCGCGGCCGAUUAGUUAGUUGGCGGGGUAAUGGCCCACCAAGACGAUGAUCGGUA